GUCGACUAUACCUGGAUGCUACUUCUGGGAUCUAUUUUUACUUUGACCAUGAGGUGGCCGCAAGCCAGAGACUAUUUCAAGAGUUGUAUUCAAAACCCGAGAAGGACACUACCAUUGCGAAGCAGUACCAUGGUGUAAAGAAGCUC